AAAAGUGUCAAGGGAUGGGAAUCGAACCACGACCUUCCGCUUACCGGGCAGAUGCCAUGAUCACUAGGCUACCCUUUU
rnacentral:tRNA from 1 species